UGUUAAAAUUUUCAUCCACUUAUACUGUUAAAAACUAGCAUAGCUGACAAAAUAACCGUAUAAUUAAAUGUGAUGUGCUAUGUGUACCUCAUGUUAAUAUACAUUGACUAGUUUUUAAUAGUAGAAGUAGAUGGAACUUUUAACA
rnacentral:pre_miRNA from 1 species